AGUCUCCCAGCCCAAGGUGCAGUGCUGCAUCUCUGGUCAGUUGUGAGUCUGAGAUGAAGCACUGUAGCUCGGGAAGGGGGAAAC
rnacentral:pre_miRNA from 1 species